CACAGGAGAGAAGAAGAAUCAAGCCAGGCGAGCAUAGGAGAGGGAAGCCAUGGAUGUGCGCGAGGGGACGCGGAGGAUGAGGGGUGCUUCCAUCCCUGCUCCGCUCGAGGGUGAUGGCGAGAGCCUGCUGCUGAUGUAUCUGCCUCAGCCGGCGCCGGCGUCGGCGUCGGGGCGAUGAUGCCCACGCCGCUGCCCUCGUUGGAGGACUUCGAAGCUUUAGGAGAAGAUGGCAAGCCAUUGUGGCCGUCCAAGGAAUUCCUCCGGCAGAUGUUGGUGGCCAUCGCCCCGACCGGAUCGAUUCUGCCCACUGUCUAAUUAAUUACUACGAGUAGCUUUCUUUCUACUCGAUCGUACUACGAGUAGCUUUCUUUCUACUCGAUCGUCUGCCCAUAUGUAAUAAAUUGUGACCAUCGAUGAGGGCGACUACUUUAUUUGUAUGCACUGUCUUGUUUUAAUCGAUGAUGGACUGCCUACUGUCUAAUAAAUUGUCGUUUGUUUUGCAAAGCAAAU
rnacentral:rRNA from 1 species